ACAAUAUUUGACAAUCCUUGGGAGUUUGGCACUCGCUCUACAUGACACUGUGCAGGCCAGAGAGAUAUUGAGAUCAUCUUUAACAUUGGCAAAGAAACUCUAUGACAUCCCAACUCAGAUCUGGGUACUAUCAGUUUUAACGACUUUAUACCAAGAGUUGGGUGAAAAAGGAAAUGAGAUGGAGAACGCGGAAUAUCAAUGUAAAAAGGCAGAUGAUCUGCAAAGGAGAUUGGUUGAUGCGCAUUCCGCCAUUCAUCACAUCGAAUUAAUUGACAAAGUACGGCUUGAAAUUCAGCAACUAAAGGGGGUUGACAUCAAGCGUGCAGGUAGCCCGUCCCUUGGAGUUGAUCUUGAUAUACCAGAAUCUAUUGGUGUGUCGGUUUCAUUGCCGACUUCAUCAUUGAAGCUUGUGGAUAUAGACACAGGGAGACGUGGAAAGAGGAAAAUUUAGAGCUUGCCUUGGAGAUUUUUCA
rnacentral:misc_RNA from 1 species